CCAUGGUGGUUCAAUGGUAGAAUUCUUACCUUCUACGUGGGAGAUCUAGAUUCAAUUCCUGGCCAGUGGA
rnacentral:tRNA from 1 species